UGAAUAAAUGCAGAGGAAAAUGGAACUCUAAAAUAGAGACUCUUAAAAAUACAGAUAUAUUGUUUUUCCAUACCUAAUUGUUUCCCGGGAUUAUACUGCCUGUCUCUCCCAUGUGUUGCCCAAGACAUCUUCAGCCGCUUCCCCAGUGAGCUAGCACAGCAUUUCAUGUGCAUAUGUUCUCUGUGUCUUGGCUUGUUUCCUGAUGGAAACCACCAUUCUGAUAUCUAGGCUGCCUCACGCGUCUUCUGGACAGCUUUGACACUUCGCUCAAGAAUGAAGGACAGCGAUUUUCCGUGAGCUUCACGUCUGGACCUUCCCGCCAAGAUGUGGUUCCUGCUCUCUAGAACGCGGCCUUUCCUCAGUAUUCAUCUCAUGUGAAAUGUGGAGAACCAUCUGGAUAAUCAGAGAAUUUGCUCUCGCCAGGCGGAAAGGGCAUGAGAGAUGAAAAUGAUACAGCACCAUGUAUUAGCACAGAUUUUGCCUUAGACUGUGGGACUUCUGUCUUCCAUGGAAACCCCAGCCAAUUAGCUGAAGCUAACGUGUACGCCUUCCACUGCCGAGAUAUUGUCAUUGAUCACUUCAGGUAAAGUUACAAACAGUUUAUACCACCUUUUCUAGUGGAAGAACUAACAUGGUAGUAAAACUUCCCACAUAGUAUGCCCAAAUAACAAGCUUGUUGUCUG
rnacentral:lncRNA from 1 species